rnacentral:rRNA from 1 species
UACGAAGGACCCGAGCGUUAUCCGGAUUCAUUGGGUUUAAAGGGUGCGUAGGCGGAACGAUAAGUCAGUGGUGAAAUCCUGCAGCUUAACUGCAGAACUGCCAUUGAUACUGUUGUUCUUGAAUGCAACUGAUGUGGGCGGAAUGUGCCAUGUAGUGGUGAAAUACUUAGAUAUGGCACAGAACACCGAUUGCGAAGGCAGCUCACAAAAUUGUUAUUGACGCUGAUGCACGAAAGCGUGGGGAU